GUUGCUUGAUACUACUGCUGUCAAACGGAUCUGUCAAAUGAAACUGUCAAACUACUGCAAUGAUAACCGGGCUAUUGUAAAACGAAAGUGAAAGUGAAAACUAAAAUGUGGCGCAAGAAUAUUAAAGAAAACUAUGGCUUAUUAAGAGAAAUUAUGGUGAAAAGUUUACUGCGCGUCCCAUUUCAAGCGCCUCGACAUUUAAGGAACUAGUGGAGUGGAUUAUCGACUGCGAAAGGUCUUCGCUGCCUCUUUUGUCCUGGAUUCGCUGCAAAAGAUCAUAUUCAUCGCCGGUGCUCACCAUAUUACGGCCAAAGUUGACGAAGUACGGUGUGUACCCCGUACUGUCGUGUACAUUUGUGCGAAUUGCCUUCGCGAUCUGAUGGACAGACUCAUCCCAGUCCCGGUGGUCGCUUUUACGGUUAAGCGAACAUCGAAUCGCAGUAACAAUAACCCGAUUGACGCGCUCCGUCGGAUUCGGUGCGGGAUGAUACACAGAGAGAUUCCAGUAACUGAAAUUCGAGCUUCAAGAUGGACAGAUCUGACCUUAGCUUCUUCUCAAUGCCGGCGUUCCCACGUCGGAUGCAAUCUGCAGUCGAAUUCGAGCUUUCGUGGAUGCCACAAGCGAAAGUAGG